UACGUAGGGGGCAAGCGUUGUCCGGAAUCAUUGGGCGUAAAGAGCGUGUAGGCGGCCUGGUAAGUCCGCUGUGAAAGUCCAGGGCUCAACCCUGGAAUGCCGGUGGAAACUGUCAGGCUCGAGUCCGGAAGAGGCGAGUGGAAUUCCUGGUGUAGCGGUGAAAUGCGCAGAUAUCAGGAGGAACACCGAUGGCGAAGGCAGCUCGCUGGGACGGUACUGACGCUGAGGCGCGAAAGCGUGGGGAGCAAACAGG
rnacentral:rRNA from 1 species